CUGACCAGAGGCAAACUACGCAUGUCCCCCUACCGGCCGAUGAAGUUUUCCAUGCGAAAACCUUCCCUUCUUCUUCCUCCUCAUUCCAGUGACAGAUGAACCGAAGUUACGUGCCAGAAGCUCUUUCUGCAGGAGGGAGAGAAUGCAAAUUGUUCAUAAAUGCAGAGAGCUGUUUAUCUGUCAGGCUACCAUGAAAUUAAGCAAAUCAGCAGAAGUACUGGCCAACGGUGACAAUUUCAUCAGAAUGUGUGCUACUGCAACUAUGUAUUCCUCACUUUGCGAUAUCUAUGAAGAGAAGGCUCGGAUCAGUGGCGUCAUCGAACUUUGAUCGGAAUUUCGUAGCUGUCAAUGGGGUCAAAUAUCUGUAAAUUUAGUGUUGACAAAUUAGUUGGUUGCUCGUGAUUUGGUCGGUAAUGAAUGUCAAUAAUGCACACGAACUGGUGCCUUCUUCUUCUAGAGGGUAUUGAAUUAAGUAUGUCCUCUCAAGCAUGUGGUGGACAGCUUUUGGCAAUUAUAGACAAACACAUAAUUAUUGCUUU